rnacentral:rRNA from 1 species
GGGCAAUGGGCGAAAGCCUGACCCAGCCACGCCGCGUGUGUGAUGAAGGCUUCGGGUCGUAAAGCACUGUGGGGAGAGACGAAACAGCGCAUCAGGAAAUGGUUGCGCCUUGACGGUACCUCCUUAGCAAGCACCGGCUAACUCUGUGCCAGCAGCCGCGGUAAUACAGAGGGUGCAAACGUUGCUCGGAUUUACUGGGCGUAAAGCGCGUGUAGGCGGACUCGCAAGUCGGUUGUGAAAUCCCUGGGCUCAACCUAGGAACUGCAUCCGAAACUGCUUGUCUUGAGUAAUGGAGAGGGUGGCGGAAUUCCCGGUGUAGAGGUGAAAUUCGUAGAUAUCGGGAGGAACAUCAGUGGCGAAGGCGGCCACCUGGACAUUUACUGACGCUGAGACGCGAAAGCGUGGGGAGCAAACAGGAUUAGAUACCCUGGUAGUCCACGCCGUAAACGAUGAGAACUAGGUGCAGCGGAUAUUGACCUCUGCUGUGCCGURGUAACGCGUUAAGUUCUC